GUUGAUAAUUUUAUUUGUUGUUUAUUGAUUUAAGAUCCAAAAACAUUUAACUAUUACGAAAUUACGCAACUCGAGGAUACAUGAACUCUAAGAAAUCAUAUGGACUAGAACAUUGUGACAUUUAGUACAUCCAGUGGUCAAAUUAUUCAAAGUGUAUUUUCAAGGGCAAGGUCGACUGAUCCAAUGGCAGGGUUGACGAUCCAUACUUCAGACUGGUAUAUGAGGCUUUCAGAGGUUGGUCAUGGUGUAUCGGAUCCCAUUUGGAGUUCCUGCCCUUAUCCCAAUGCACGGACAGCUGUUGAACAAAAUAUGCUAGAGAUACCACUCACGACGUAUAUUGGAUACAGACAAGGACUUUGUCCCCAAUAGUUUUAUUCCAAAUCUAUUGAUUAAAGUUUAAAAGUGUU